UACGUAGGGUGCAAGCGUUGUCCGGAAUUAUUGGGCGUAAAGAGCUCGUAGGCGGUUUGUCACGCCGGAUGUGAAAACCCGAGGCUUAACCUCGGGCCUGCAUUCGAUACGGGCUGACUAGAGUUCGGUAGGGGAGACUGGAAUUCCUGGUGUAGCGGUGAAAUGCGCAGAUAUCAGGAGGAACACCGGUGGCGAAGGCGGGUCUCUGGGCCGAUACUGACGCUGAGGAGCGAAAGCGUGGGGAGCGAACAGG
rnacentral:rRNA from 1 species